CGUCUUCCUGGCAGAAUUUCAGACAAGGGCUCUUCCUCCCUCUUCUUCCCUGGCUGUGCAGCUGUCAGGCUUUCCUUGGACUGAGAGGGGCGGGUGCUGGGGUAGACUGGCCUUGGCCUGGGAAGCUGCUGACCUCCCAUGAGAGGGGUGGGGCUGGGACCAGAGACCUGGCGUCGCCUGUGCCCUAUUAGGAGAGCACCCAUAGCCAGCAUGGCAUACCCGUGUGGGCACAGCACAGCCUGAUGGUUACAUAUGGCUAAUGGUGGCACUGCCCAUGGUCACCUCCCCAGCCCAGCUGUGACCAGUAGCCCAGAGGGUCCUGACCCUCAGCCCCUCUCAGCUGGACGUCUCACCUCUGCGCAGACCACGCCUGCUCUGGGACACACUCCACACCUCAGAGCUUCUCCUCUGUCUGUGACAGACUGGGGUGAGCAGUCCCCUGUGGACAUCACAGGGUCCCAGGAACAGAGAUGCAUGGGAUAGGGGAGGAGGACAGCUGAGGCGGGCGGGGCCCCCCUGCUCUCCACUCCCGGGGACCACAGGAGGUGGUGGCCAUUGUCCCUGGCCUGUGACCUCCCGGCACUGCUGUUGGUGUCUGGCACCACUGCGGCCCACCUCCCUCCUGGACCAGCCGGGACCACCCUAGCUGCUCACAGUAGAAAGUGCUGCCUCCUCCUGCCGCAGGAGGGGGACUGGAGAGCGUUUCCAUCCACGAGGAAGGUAGAGGUUCUGUUCUUCCUUUCUGGCCAGCAAAAUAGCAGGGUGGGCGGGCGGCAGCAGGGUCAGGAGGAGUCGCCCUCAGACUUGUAGCAGCCCGCUGCGUGUCCCUGGACGGAAGGGUCCUCUCCCGGGGCUGGGAUUGAUUGCUGGAACUGCUGCUUGCCCCACACUGUUGCAGUGCAAUUGGGAGGAGGAGGAGCUGUUGGAAGCACAUAUUUUAGUUUAUUUUUAUGCUCGCAGUCUCCCUUUUUAAUAGCACGUGUUCGCAGUGCACAGUGGCCACAGCUGGUGUGGGGCUGCUGCAGGGACCUGACGCACCGUGGUCCCUUUUCGGCCCUUUUCCUCUUCUCCCUCCCCCAUGUCUCCUCAGGUCUCAUCGAGUCUUCGCAGAGCUUGGGCACCUUCACGCCAUCUUUGUCUCUGAACCCGCUGGGGUGUGGCUCGGCGGCCUCCGCAAGGCUUUGCUGAGGAGACAUGAGGACGCAAUGGCUCGGAGGGGCCGAUGCCAAGGCCGGGCAGCUCCCUUCCUGAGCCCACUGGAGUGACCCAGGCUGGGCAGCGGACACAGUGUGACCACACAUCCAGGACCACACUCUGGCCCACAGGCGUGGCGAAGGGCGUUCACACCCACCGGCACCCAGAACCCCCAGCUCACCGUGCGAGGCAGAGCCUCGUUCCCACCCCAGUCCCAGCCCCACCCAGCAUGCUUCCCAGGACUGAGGCUUCACCCAGAGUUUUACUAUGCUUUGGAAUAGAGAUUUUUUUACCCACCACUGUGUGAGCGGAGCCAGUGUUGAUGUCAACAGAGAAGAAAGUCCCAGUGCUCAGCGUCCCUGUGUCAGCUCAGCCCAGCGCUGGCCGACUUCCACUCCCUCCUGCGGUGCACCAGCAGCACCUUGUCCCUUCCCUGGUGCCCACGCCCUGUGCAGCUGAG
rnacentral:lncRNA from 1 species